AUUCCAGCUCCAAUAGCGUAUAUUAAAGUUGUUGUGGUUAAAAAGCUCGUAGUUGGAUUUCGGCGGGUAUUGGUUGGUUUGAAUUGCUUCAACACUGACUUUUUUACCCGUGUGUUUUGCCAGAAUUUAGCGGGUGAUCUUCGCCGAUUGUCCGUUGGAACUGGUAGGUUUACUUUGAAAAAAUUAGAGUGCUCAAAGCAAGCUUACUGCUUGAAUAGUUGCGCAUGGAAUAAUAGAAUAGGAAGUCGUUUCUAUUUUGUUGGUUUUCGGAAAUCGACUUAAUGUAUUCAAACGACAGAGGUGAAAUUCUUGGACCGUUUGAAGACGAACUAAGGCGAAAGCAUUUGCCAAGAAUGUUUUCAUCA
rnacentral:rRNA from 1 species